GGUUGUUCUUUCUUUAGUACCAAUGAAUAACUUGGUUACACGAUAUACUUGAAGACUGUAGUAGGAAUAAAAUGCUUGGCAGACCAAACUAAUUAGCUUUGAAGUUUCCUGGAGACAGACUACUCUUGCAUCAUUAUGUGCAACCCACAGGGAUCUCGCUCGGUGAGACAUGCACACCUAUGCCACAUCUUUACAUCUCAGUUUUCACAUCCUUCCCAGGUUUCACAAAAAACAUAAACAUAUGCUUGGAUGGGUGUCCUUGCCUGCGACCUUGCUGUCUCCAACCCAUCCACAGAUAAUCUGCAUGGUGCUACUUAAAAUUUAUGAAUGGUUUGUCGGCAUGUCACUGGGAUUUAGAGGCAGAAACGUCUUACUCCUGACUACAUGGAGUUCUCAAUAAAUUAUUCUUGUCAUUUUUUUCGAGUCUAUGCUUCCUAUCUCCGGGUCAUCCGCCUCCCAAAGACUACUCCGAGGUAUGAAAGUAAAGCCCCUUCCUCCGCCUUAAUGUUGAUCGCGUUCAUACCUGUGUUAUAUUUUUUGUGUGCAACCACAAUAAUGGUUCUUUAUUUGUUUCAUUUUGACAUACAUGUUUCUGGAAUACUCUUACCUGCCAUAAGACAUGCAGUCA